rnacentral:rRNA from 1 species
CCUGAUUGAUUCUGUCAGCGCUAUAUGCUCAGUUUAAAGAUUAAGCCAUGCAUGUCGAGUUCAUCUAUAGAGAAACUGCGAACGGCUCAUUAGAGCAGAUGUCAUUUAUUCGAACGUCCUAUUGAUAACUGCGGUAAUUCUGGAGCUAAUACAUGCAAUAAAACCCUGACUUUUGGAAGGGUGCAAUUAUUAGUGCAAACCAAUCAUCUUCGGAUGUUGUUUGCUGACUCUGAAUAACGCAGCAUAUCGGCGGCUUGUCCGCUGAUAUUCCGAAAAAGUGUCUGCCCUAUCAACCUGAUGGUAGUCUAUUAGUCUACCAUGGUUAUUACGGGUAACGGAGAAUAAGGGUUCGACUCCGGAGAGGGAGCCUUAGAAACGGCUACCACAUCCAAGGAAGGCAGCAGGCGCGAAACUUAUCCAAUCUUGAAUAGAUGAGAUAGUGACUAAAAAUAAGAAGACCAUUCCUAUGGAACGGUCAUUCCAAUGAGUUGAUCAUAAACCUUUUUUCGAGGAACAAGUGGAGGGCAAGUCUGGUGCCAGCAGCCGCGGUAAUUCCAGCUCCACUAGUGUAAAUCGUCAUUGCUGCGGUUAAAAAGCUCGUAGUUGGAUCUGAGUUACAUGCAGUGGUUCACCUUUGGUGUUAAUCGCUGUUGUGACUAUUUGCUGGUUUUCUAUUAAAGCUUCGGCUUUUUUAGUGGCUAGCGAGUUUACUUUGAAUAAAUUAGAGUGCUCAGAACAAGCGUUUGCUUGAAUGGUCGAUCAUGGAAUAAUAAAAGAGGACUUCGGUUCUAUUUAUUGGUUCAGGAACUGAAAUAAUGGUUAAGAGGGACAAUUCGGGGGCAUUCGUAUCCCUGCGCGAGAGGUGAAAUUCGUGGACCGCAGGGGGACGCCCUAAAGCGAAAGCAUUUGCCAAGAAUCCUUACUAUAUAUAUAAUGGUUAAGAGGGACAAUUCGGGGGCAUUCGUAUCCCUGCGCGAGAGGUGAAAUUCGUGGACCGCAGGGGGACGCCCUAAAGCGAAAGCAUUUGCCAAGAAUCCUUAUCCUUACUAUAUAUAAGCGAAACCAAGAGAUGUUUGUUUGUUUGUUUGUUUGUUUGUCCGUCCGUCCGUCCGCCCGGUGUGCGGUCCACGGCCCACGCUCAAUGAUAGGACGCACUCCGCAAAGGACGCUUUCCUGGGACCCAUACCAAGGUGAUGUGCUACUAGCAUAGGUGAACUCCUUGAGCUUCUUUAGUGGUCUCCUACAGAACAUCUUCUUCAUGGGCAGACCCAUGAAGAUCAUCUACAGACACACCGGUUCAAGUGAAAAUUUUUGUUUCAUAGCGAGCACCUGGGACCCAUACCAAGGUGAUGUGCUACUAGCAUAGGUGAACUCCUUGAGCUUCUUCAGUGGUCUCCUACAGAACAUCUCUCCAUGGGCAGACCCAUGAACAUGAAGAUCAUCUACAGACUCACCGGUUCAAGUGAAAAUUUUUGUUUCUAGCGAGCAGUGCCAAAGUGAUGUGCUCAACGAGCUGACCUUCGUGGACAGUCUCCUACAGAACAUCUCCUCCAUGGGCAGACCCAUGAAGAUCAUCUACAGACACACCGGUUCAAGUGAAAAUUUUUGUUUCUCAGCGAACAGUGCCAAAGUGAUGUGCUCAACGAGCUGAACUUCGUGGACAGUCUCC